UUUAAGUUCUGGAGCCUGCCUGUGUUCAGAAUCCAGCUCUCCCGUUUGCUAGCUGUCAGACCUUGGGCAAGCUUUGUGCUGAUGAACAUGGUCACCUUGAAAGGUGUGUUGAAUAUGGCAGAGCCAGAAAAUGCAAGGAGCUUCUUCUCUGGAUCACCACUUGAAGAAGAGCCACUUGCUCCUCAGGAACCCUAUUUUGGACUGACGUUGCAAGAAAGCUCAAGUAGCCUAUGGAGAGGAUGCAAGGCUUCCAGCUGAUGCCCUCAGCCAGGCUCAGUAGCAGCCAGAACUAGCCUACCAACGAACCUGCUGAUCAUGUGCAUAAGCCACCUUGAACGUCGAUCCUCCUGCCUGGUGGAGCCAUCCCAGCUGAUGCCACAUGAAGCAGACACAAGCUGUCCCUACUAAGCUCUGCUCAAGUUGGAUAUUCAUGAGUGAAAUAAAUGACUGUUACUAACUGAGCUGAUGAUCUUUUAAAUAAAAAACUACAACCACCUGUCUUAAUCUAGAGACUACUCAGUGGUUGAUUUUUCAGGAUUGGAGCCAGGCUGUCUGGGUUCAAUUACAGGCUCUUAGACUUUGAAUUUGUUUCUUAACUGCUCUGUCCCUAAAUUUUCUUUCUUUUUUUCUUUAUUAUUAUUUCUUUUUUGGUAAAACAGGAUUUAUAAGUAGUAUAUGCCUCAUAAAAUUGCUGGAAGAAUUAAAUGAAUUAAUUUAUGUAGUGUACUUAGAAGAGCAUUUAUGUUAGCUAGUAUGUGUCUACUUACUUUGACCUCCCAUUGGAUUGUAAAAGCUGGAGAACAAGGGCUCUGUCUUAUUUUGCUGAUGUUUUCUUCAGUGCUGGGACUAGGGUGAGGUGAGCGAAGCACCUGACUGGCUGCAAAAUUCAGUGAGAGUGUAGGGGAAGCAAAAAACAUAAACAACCAAGAUAAAUAAUAUUUUAGUGCAGUGCUUUUAAAAAUCAAAAUUAGUGGCCGGGCGUGGUGGCUUAUGCCUGUAAUCCCAGCACUUUGGGAAGCCCAGGUGGGCAGAUCACAAGGUCAGGAGAUCGAGA
rnacentral:lncRNA from 10 species